rnacentral:rRNA from 1 species
UACGUAGGGGGCAAGCGUUGUCCGGAAUCAUUGGGCGUAAAGCGCGUGUAGGCGGCUUGGUAAGUCUGCUCUGAAAGCCCGGGGCUCAACCCCGGGAGGCGGGUGGAUACUGUCAAGCUCGAGUCCGGAAGAGGAGUGUGGAAUUCCUGGUGUAGCGGUGAAAUGCGCAGAUAUCAGGAGGAACACCGGUGGCGAAGGCGGCAUCCUGGACCAAUUCUGACGCUGAGGAGCGAAAGCCAGGGGAGCAAACGGG